GAGAAGAGCUCAGUGGAGCAAGUUGGGUGCAACAAGUGACUGCGGUUCCAGCCUCCAGUAAAAAAGUCAAGCCAGCAGAAACAACGGUUGUUCAUACUAAGCAUUACGUGUCUGCGCCUGACAUGCACCAGCAUCCUACAUGAGGGGCACGAGACGGACCUGAUCUACCGAGGUGGCAUAGGGUGGCAAAUGCCACCCUAAAAGAAAGCCUGCCAGCCCAAUUUGCAGCGACGAAUUUGACAUUUACGAUCAAGGAACACCAAUGUCUGACUGAAGGCAAUGCAGCACGAGAUGACGAGCGGCUGCAACGCCAGCGCAGUAACACACUGUUUUGUUUUGAAAAAGCGAGGGCGCUAGGACGCACGAGUCAGGAGGAAAGAAGACACAGGGGGAGAGAGACAUGGAGAGCAAAGGUAGCAUUUGCAGUUUUUGUCUCACCAAAGAGAAAGGGGACAGAAAGAGAAAAUGAACAGUUGAGCAAGGGUGAUGGAAAAGAUGAAGGUGAGGUGGAAUGAGAGAGAAAAGACGAAGGUGAGGUGGAAGGA